ensembl:lncRNA
AAAAUUCACACUUUUUCAAUGUCUAUUUAUUUGUAAAGAAAUGUUUACUGUGAACUGCUGAAGACUGAGGGAAUGUGCCUUCUAAAAUCCAUUUCAUUUUGGGAUAAUACUGUUAUGUGGUAACAUGAAUUUUGUAUUGUUGGAAUGUUGCAGCUGUUAUCAUCCUCAGUUUCUGGUUCUGAAUAUGCUCUGUGGAAUAAUAACAAAUUUGGAAGUCCAACAGAAUUGGAUAAGUUUCUGAAGUUGUAUUGAAUCCAGAGAUUAGAAUUGGCCAAUACUCAAAACUUCUGUAUCAAAUCUUCUUCCAAAGUUUUAAGUGAAAACCUAAAAAUCCUGAAUUUUUAGAAUUUUUUAGAAAUCCUCACAGAACAGAAAUUCUAAUUUUUCCCAUUUAUAGUUGUUUAAUUUUUGUGAGGUGUUUGAGACUGAUAAAGCAUGUCAAAAUCAACUUGAGAUCAUCAAGAAAAAUUUGUGGACAGUUUUACAUUUAUAAGCAUUUUUUUGGAGCUGUUUGCUUUUGAAUGGGAGUGUUUUCUGGAUGAAGGCUGCCUGGAGCAAACGUUUCUAGCUUGAAACAGGAGACUGGGAGAUUUAUACGCUGAAUCCUGGGAAGACAAGAUACAAGCUGGUGACUCCCUGCUUCCUUUUAUUUCUACUGAUUUAAAUUUGCAAGGCCUGGAAGAUGGAAAUGAAAGGGUUCCUGCUGAGAUCCUUGAAGCCAGAAGCUGUCACUCCAAAAAACAAGGUCAACCACUCUCGAGUAUGUGCAUUCAUAACCAGUCAUCAGCCGACAACCACAACCUUUGAUGAUCCACUUCUACAGAAGAUCAGCAUGACCAAGACUUUUCUGGGAUUAGGAACAGUGAACUGCUUUGUUUUGCUGUGCUUAUAUAUGUAUAUGUCUGUCUGCUUUUCUCUCUUUUCCCAUUUUCUAUCUUUUCUCUUUAUCUUCUACUCUUUCACUCUUUAUAGUAGCUGUUGUCUAAUAUAGUCUCAGAAAUUUAAGUGUAGAAAUGACUCCUGCACCAUAGUACUUUUACUUGUAAUGCUUACUAAUUGUUAUUAGCAAAUUACCUAACUUUACCGCCGAGUAAAAUAUUACUUGUUGUUAAGAAAGCUCUCAAUAAAUUGGUUUGUAUUAUUCCUCUGAGUCUUAGAUGACUCCAUCACAGUAGUGACUCCAGUUGACUAGGGGAGGAAUAGAAAGAGGAGACAGAAAAAAUAUCCAUCUUCCUUGAAACCCGUUGAGUGGGAUGGGACAAGUUGAUCAUAAAGGAAAAUAAUAUGUUACCUGUGAUGAGUCCAAAGGAGUCUUUUAAUGCUUUUUUAGAGUCCCAGGCAUACCUCAGUAAGAGCAAUCUACCACCCAGUGUACACAUAUCCUUGUGAGAACUAGAGAACUAGAGUUUAAAUCAGACAAAACGAAGUACUCUACACAGUGUCCAGUGAAUUUGUGGAACACAAUGUGAAGACAGACAGUGUUAGCUGCUUUAAAAAGAAGAAAUUAUUAGGCAGUAUAUUUGUAAGUGUGCAGUGGGAAGAAUUAAUAUUAAGGUGCAAUUUUGAAUAUCCCUAGCACAAAGAACACGAGAAAUGGAGCACAGAAAUGGGUCAGGCUCUUAUGUUGUCCCUGAAUAGUCAAUCCUAUUAUCACUUUCAGAGAUAGAAUACUGGGCUAGGUGGAUCAUCAGUCUGACAAAACUGAGCAUUUCUUGGUAGAAUUAAUGGUAAAGUUGAAAUAAUUCUAUCGGUUUCUUCUUUUGAGGACAGGGAAUUGUGUAAAAUACUAAAACAGAAAGCAUUGUGCCU